AGUGCAUGUGGUGGAUGCCUUGGCAGUCAGAGGCGAUGAAAGACGUGAUAGCCUGCGAAAAGCUCCGGGGAGGCGGCAAAUAUCCUUUGAUCCGGAGAUGUCUGAAUGGGGGAACCCACCUACUUUAAGGUAGGUAUUGCAACAUGAAUACAUAGUGUUGCAAGGCGAACGAGGGGAAGUGAAACAUCUCAGUACCCUUAGGAAAAGAAAUCAAUUGAGAUUCCCUCAGUAGCGGCGAGCGAACGGGGAUCAGCCCAUUAAGUUAUGUGUGUUUUAGUGGAACGCUCUGGGAAGUGCGAACGUAGAGGGUGAUAUUCCCGUACACGAAAGGGCACACAUAAUGAUGACGAGUAGGGCGAGGCACGUGAAACCUUGUCUGAAUAUGGGGGGACCAUCCUCCAAGGCUAAAUACUCCUGACUGACCGAUAGUGAACCAGUACCGUGAGGGAAAGGCGAAAAGAACCCCUGUGAGGGGAGUGAAAUAGAUCCUGAAACCGCAUGCAUACAAGCAGUGGGAGCACCUUCGUGGUGUGACUGCGUACCUUUUGUAUAAUGGGUCAGCGACUUAUAUUCAGUAGCGAGGUUAACCGUAUAGGGGAGCCGUAGAGAAAUCGAGUCUUAAUAGGGCGUUUAGUUGCUGGGUAUAGACCCGAAACCAGGCGAUCUAUCCAUGAGCAGGUUGAAGGUUGGGUAACACUAACUGGAGGACCGAACCCACUGUCGUUGAAAAGCCAGGGGAUGACUUGUGGAUAGGGGUGAAAGGCUAAUCAAGCCUGGUGAUAGCUGGUUCUCCCCGAAAGCUAUUUAGGUAGCGCCUCGGACGAAUACCAUAGGGGGUAGAGCACUGUUUCGGCUAGGGGGUCAUCCCGACUUACCAAACCGAUGCAAACUCCGAAUACCUAUGAGUACUAUCCGGGAGACAGACUGCGGGUGCUAACGUCCGUAGUCAAGAGGAAAACAAUCCAGACCGCCAGCUAAGGCCCCAAAAUCAUAGUUAAGUGGGAAACGAUGUGGGAAGGCAUAGACAGCUAGGAGGUUGGCUUAGAAGCAGCCACCCUUUAAAGAAAGCGUAAUAGCUCACUAGUCGAGUCGGCCUGCGCGGAAGAUGUAACGGGGCUAAAACUAUGUGCCGAAGCUGCGGAUGUAUACUUUGUAUACGUGGUAGGGGAGCGUUCUGUAAGCCGAUGAAGGUGUGUUGAGAAGCAUGCUGGAGGUAUCAGAAGUGCGAAUGCUGACGUGAGUAACGACAAAACGGGUGAAAAACCCGUUCGCCGAAAGACCAAGGGUUCCAGUCCAACGUUAAUCGGGGCUGGGUGAGUCGACCCCUAAGGCGAGGCCGAAAGGCGUAGUCGAUGGGAAAAUGGUUAAUAUUCCAUUACUUCUGUGUAAUGCGAUGAGAGGACGGAGAAGGCUAAAUCAGCCUGGCGUUGGUUGUCCAGGUGAAAGGAUGUAGGCAUGUAUCUUAGGCAAAUCCGGGGUACUCUAUGCUGAGAUCUGAUAGCAAGCUGUACUUGUACAGCGAAGUGGUUGAUGCCAUGCUUCCAGGAAAAGUCUCUAAGCUUCAGUUACACAGGAAUCGUACCCGAAACCGACACAGGUGGUCAGGUCGAGUAGACCAAGGCGCUUGAGAGAACUCUGCUGAAGGAACUAGGCAAAAUGGUACCGUAACUUCGGGAGAAGGUACGCUGUUGUUGGUGAUGGAACUCGCUUCCUGAGCUGACGACAGCCGCAGAAACCAGGCCGCUGCAACUGUUUAUUAAAAACAUAGCACUCUGCAAACACGAAAGUGGACGUAUAGGGUGUGAUGCCUGCCCGGUGCUGGAAGGUUAAUUGAUGGGGUUAGCGUAAGCGAAGCUCUUGAUCGAAGCCCCAGUAAACGGCGGCCGUAACUAUAACGGUCCUAAGGUAGCGAAAUUCCUUGUCGGGUAAGUUCCGACCUGCACGAAUGGCAUAAUGAUGGCGGCGCUGUCUCCAGCAGAGGCUCAGUGAAAUCGAAAUCGCUGUGAAGAUGCAGUGUACCCGCGGCUAGACGGAAAGACCCCGUGAACCUUUACUGCAGCUUGACACUGAACUUUGACCUUACUUGUGUAGGAUAGGUGGGAGGCUUUGAAGCUGGAACGCUAGUUCCAGUGGAGCCGUCCUUGAAAUACCACCCUGGUAAUGUUGAGGUUCUAACUCUGUCCCGUGAUCCGGGACGAGGACCGUGUCUGGUGGGUAGUUUGACUGGGGCGGUCUCCUCCUAAAGAGUAACGGAGGAGUACGAAGGUGCGCUCAGCGUGGUCGGAAAUCACGCGUAGAGUAUAAAGGCAAAAGCGCGCUUAACUGCGAGACCCACAAGUCGAGCAGGUACGAAAGUAGGUCUUAGUGAUCCGGUGGUUCUGUAUGGAAGGGCCAUCGCUCAACGGAUAAAAGGUACUCUGGGGAUAACAGGCUGAUACCGCCCAAGAGUUCAUAUCGACGGCGGUGUUUGGCACCUCGAUGUCGGCUCAUCUCAUCCUGGGGCUGAAGCAGGUCCCAAGGGUAUGGCUGUUCGCCAUUUAAAGAGGUACGCGAGCUGGGUUUAGAA
rnacentral:rRNA from 1 species